rnacentral:rRNA from 1 species
GAUGAAUGCUGGCGGUGUGCCUAAUACAUGCAAGUCGAGCGGAAAGGCCCCUUCGGGGGUACUCGAGCGGCGGACGGCUGAGUAACGCGUAGGAACGUACCCCAAACUGAGGGAUAAUCCACCGAAAGGUGGACUAAUACCGCAUGUGCUCUUCGGAGGGAAGCUUCGGCGGUUUGGGAACGGCCUGCGUCCGAUUAGGUUGUUGGUGAGGUAAUGGCUCACCAAGCCUACGAUCGGUAGCUGGUCUGAGAGGAUGAUCAGCCAGACUGGGACUGAGACACGGCCCAGACUCCUACGGGAGGCAGCAGUAGGGAAUUUUCCACAAUGGGCGAAAGCCUGAUGGAGCAACACCGCGUGCAGGAUGAAGGCUUUCGGGUCGUAAACUGCUUUUACUAGUGACGAAUAUGACGGUAACUAGAGAAUAAGGAUCGGCUAACUACGUGCCAGCAGCCGCGGUAA